GGAAACCUGCAAACGUGGGGGUA
rnacentral:siRNA from 1 species